AGCAAGUUUGCAUGAAGUGCCUAUUUUUAACCGACUGGUUACAUGAUGAAUAAAAUCAAAUCACCAUCUUUCGGCUGAUCUUGUG
ensembl:snoRNA snoZ196 Small nucleolar RNA Z196/R39/R59 family